CCGGAGGCAAAAGUCCUUCGAGUUCGUUCGGAGUAACGGUGCAAAUGGUAGCGAAUGUAUGAGAGAAAAGGAGAGCGAGAGAGAGAGAGAGAGAGAGAAAGGAAGAGAGAAAUGAGCAGUUGGAGCCGCAGCAGAUGGUGAAUCGUUGGAGCCUUUCGCGGAGCGAGUGGCUGACUUUGAGCCCGUUCGCGCGUCUUAUAUACCCCUGAGCGAGCCGCCGAUCACGUGAUUCCGAAUCCGACUUUGCCUCCACUACUCGAAGAAGCGCGCCCCUCUCUCUUCGUUCCGCGCGACAACGCGAGUCUCGCCUUCCUCGCACGGCUCGUCCCUCUUUUUCUCCCCAAGCGUGUGUGCGUGUGUUUGUCUUCUUCUCAUGCGUUUGUCCCCGCGCGUGCUUUUAGCGCGAGUUGUCCGUGUAUUUUUUCGUGUCGCUUUCCUCGUACGAAGAGCUCGUAGAUGAAAUUGAACAAGAUUGUGUUCGAGUGUGUUGAACACCGCGUGCGCGAGCUCUUCUUCAUUCGUCGACCGUUAUAUUGGUCGCAUUAUUACGAAGUGGCGCGUCAGCGUAGCCCCAAGUGGGGGGGCACAAUGACGCUGUAAAACAGUCGAUCGAGGUCCGCUAUAUUAUUUUCUUCAUGUAGAUAAAACGGGCGAAGACGAGCGAUAUUUUUGCGUCGUUUGCCAACCCGGCAAUCUGGUGACGGUUCAAUCAGUAGUGGCAUCACAGAGGAAAGAAAAUCCAGGAAAAUAAGAGUUUGUUAAAAAAAGCAGCGGAAUUCGAAGGCUUCGGGAUGAAAAGCUUGAAAAUCAUUGGCGAAGCGGCGCACGGCGAGCGGCGGGGGGAGGGGCAAUUUUGUAACGUUCGAAACGAGUCGCGUCUUUGUCGCACUCGUCCGACGCGGAACGGGCUCGUGAGACACAGUGAAACUCCGUUAAAGGCGCUGCCCGCAUUCGAGAGCGAAGCGAUUAUAUUUAGCGAGAGCGAAGCACACUGCGCACAGCGUAGCAGCGACGAAGAAGAAAGAGCGCGGGCGGGGGACGGAGAAAGAAGUGUCGGUAGAACGAGCAGCGGCGACGUACAGCUGUAGACGGAUGUACGGAGGGAACGAGACAGCGCCAGGAGAGGGGGCGGGACGAGAUCAGUCACCAAGAAAAAGGCGGAGAAGGAGGUGAAGUUGGAAGAUUGCGGGGAUGGAAUGACAGCCUCGUGCGCUCAGCGUAGACAAGUGGGUUCGGGUUACGGCUCGGUUACGGCCUUCUUAAAUUCGGGUCGCAUUGUUCUCGAUAUACUGUGAAGAAAUAAAAAAACGAGGAGCCUCGUU